UAAAUUCUGUCUCUAGUAGGG
rnacentral:misc_RNA from 1 species